rnacentral:rRNA from 1 species
GACGAACGCUGGCGGCGUGCUUAACACAUGCAAGUCGAACGGAAAGGCCCUGCUUUUGUGGGGUGCUCGAGUGGCGGACGGGUGAGUAACACGUGAGUAACCUGCCCUUGACUUUGGGAUAACUUCAGGAAACUGGGGCUAAUACCGGAUAGGAGCUCCUGCUGCAUGGUGGGGGUUGGAAAGUUUCGGCGGUUGGGGAUGGACUCGCGGCUUAUCAGCUUGUUGGUGGGGUAGUGGCUUACCAAGGCUUUGACGGGUAGCCGGCCUGAGAGGGUGACCGGCCACAUUGGGACUGAGAUACGGCCCAGACUCCUACGGAAGGCAGCAGUGGGGAAUAUUGCACAAUGGGCGGAAGCCUGAUGCAGCAACGCCGCGUGCGGGAUGACGGCCUUCGGGUUGUAAACCGCUUUCGCCUGUGACGAAGCGUGAGUGACGGUAAUGGGUAAAGAAGCACCGGCUAACUACGUG